rnacentral:tRNA from 1 species
UGGAUUGUAGCUCAAUUAGAGCAUUUAGUUGUUAACUAAAAGGUUGUGGGGUAAGAACCUACUUGUCCAG